GGGGAUGUAGCUCAGCGGGAGAGCACCUCGUUUGCACCGAGGGGGCCAGCGGUUCGAGUCCGCUCAUCUCCA
rnacentral:tRNA from 1 species